AUUACCUCCCUAAAAAAGAGGUAAACUGGGGUGAUGAACUUUCUUUGGGUGAGCAACAAAGAUUAUGCAUGGCUAGGCUUUUCUACCAUAAUCCUAAAUUUGCAAUUCUGGAUGAAUGCACAAGUGCUGUCACAACUGACAUGGAAGAACGGUUUUGUACUAAAGUUCAAGCCAUGGGAACAUCAUGCAUUACCAUAUCACAUCGUCCAACAUUAGUUGCAUUCCAUGAUGUAGUUUUAUCCUUAGAUGGUGAGGGAGGCUGGAGUGUUCGUUAUAGAAGGACUCUUCUUCUGAAUUGGUGAUUGAUACAAUGAAGGCAUCUCAGACAAAGCAACAGCGUGAUGCACAGACAGUUCAAGAAGCAUUUGCCACGAACAAAAAGGUUCAAAUAUUUCUGAUUCUGGUUCUUGUGAUAUCUUCAAUGUUCAUUAUUUUAUAUUAAUAUGAAGUAUUCCCUACCUCCUAUUUUCUUCUUCUCUUGUCCAGGGUUCUGGAUUCUCAAAGUCAAGGGCACAAUCAUAUAUCACAGAAGUGAUAUCAUCAUCUACAUCCAUGAAUUCUAUUAUUUCACCAUCUGCUGUUCCCCAAAUUAAAAGUAAUUUGAGGCCAUUGCCACUAAGAGUAGCUGCCAUGAGCAAAGUAUUGGUAAGUACCUUCUGUAGAUAUGCUCUUAACACACACACAGAUGUAUAUAUGGUGGGGAUGGACAACUAUCCUGUCAUAAUAGAUUAAUUCUACAUGUGUUUGAGUUAUUUAUGAAAAUCUUAGAUAUUAUUGUUUGGUGGUAAACAUAUAUUUAUAUGCAUAUGCAACUACAACUUUGCUAUACUCAAGUUCUACACUCCUACAACUUAUGGGUUCUACGGUACUCCGAUUGAUAAUGAUAUUGCCUUGAAAGUUUUACUUGCUACUGAUUGUCGUUUUUAGGAUUUAGUCAGUUCUGAAAGCAUUCUCAAGAUAUGCCUUAGUUGAGAUAAAUAAAUUUAGAGCUAUAGUAAUUUCAGCAUUCAAGUAUCUACUCUAUUAGUAUCUUAUGAGAAGGAAGUUGAGAGAGAAACUGCAAAAACUGCUGACAUGAAGGAGAAGGGUGCUGACCCUUAUGAUCUCAAGCAGCAGAAAACUGCAUAUGCUCAGUCCAAUGCAAACAAAUCAAAGAAGAAGAAGUAGAUGAACAAAUACUUUCAAGUUUCAGCCACAUAAGAGUCUACCAUGGAGUGAAGAAUCAUGUAACUCAGAUUAGAUUGGAGAGUUUAAACUUUAAAGAGAGCAUGAGGAAAUAGUUUUAAAAUUUAGGCUGAAAGU